rnacentral:rRNA from 1 species
CCUACGGGAGGCAGCAGUGAGGAAUAUUGGUCAAUGGGCGCGACCCUGAACCAGCCACGCCGCGUGGGGGAUGACGGUUUUCCGAUUGUAAACUCCUUUUUUUAGAGGAGCUACUGGCGCUAUCUAACGCAUCACCACCGGCUAACUCAGUGCCAGCAGCCGCUGUCAGACGGCCGGUGCCAGCGUUACUCGGAAUCACUGGGCGUAAGUGGCGCGUAGGCGGGAGAGCAAGUCAGAUGUGAAAUCCGAUGGCUUAAACAUAGAACUGCAUUUGAAACUGGCAUUCUAGAGUAGAGGAGAGGUAGGUGGAAUGCGUGGUGUAGGGGUAAAAUGCGUAGAGAUCAAGAGGAAUACUCAUUGCGAAGGCGACAUGCUAGAAUACAACUGACGCUGAUGCGCGAAAGCGUGGGGAGCAAACAGGAUUAGAUACCCGAGUAGUC